rnacentral:rRNA from 1 species
AUUAGAUAAAAAACCCAAUGCCCUUCGGGGCUUUCUGGUGAUUCAUAAUAACUAAACGAAUCGCAUGGCCUUGAGCCGGCGAUGGUUCAUUCAAAUUUCUGCCCUAUCAACUUUCGAUUGUAGGAUAGAGGCCUACAAUGGUUUCAACGGGUAACGGAGAAUUAGGGUUCGGUUCCGGAGAGGGAGCCUGAGAAACGGCUACCACAUCCAAGGAAGGCAGCAGGCGCGCAAAUUACCCAAUCCCGACACGGGGAGGUAGUGACAAUAAAUACUGAUACAGGGCUCUUUUGGGUCUUGUAAUUGGAAUGAGUACAAUUUAAAUCCCUUAACGAGGAACAAUUGGAGGGCAAGUCUGGUGCCAGCAGCCGCGGUAAUUCCAGCUCCAAUAGCGUAUAUUAAAGUUGUUGCAGUUAAAAAGCUCGUAGUUGAACCUUGGGUCUGGCUGGCCGGUCCGCCUCACCGCGUGCACUGGUCCGGCCGGACCUUUCCUCUUGGGGAUCCGCAUGCCCUUUACUGGG